CGAUCGGUAGCUUAGUUGGUAAAGCACUUAUCCAGCGUACAAGGGUCGUGAGUUCAAAUCUCAGCUGAGCUG
rnacentral:tRNA from 1 species